GAAAUAAUUUAACUGGCAGCUCACGACCUGUCAGUGACAGUUGUGAAAAAUUUCUCGAGAAAAUAAUUUCCAACAUCGCCGCCGUAUGGGAGGAAUUGCAACAUCGUACGUGUUGCUUUAUUGUGCGGAACGGAUGGAUCUCGGGAUGUAUACAAUUUUUUCGACAGCCGGAACACACUUUUAAAAUCUGCAUGUGUUGUGUGGACUCUGGACCUGUGGGCUCUUCGAUCCGAAACCGCCAUUUAUGGCUAAACGUCCUCAUACGAACUGAUCCACGAGCAGUGAAUGAUUCCGUCGUCGGUCGGUGAAACGCCAACAGUGAAAAGUUGUGAGCCUGCGCUGGGCCUAUUUGGCUUUGUGAAAACUGCGGAAGUGAAUUGAUUUCGUCGGGGGCAGAUGAGCAGCGCAAAACUGGCUCCACCAGCAGCAUUAGCAGCAGUGGCAAUGACCACGAAUGACUCGGUCACCGCUGCUGCCACCGCCAAACCCAACCAGCAGACGACAGGGUCACAGAGCCAUCAGCAACGAUCGUACGGGAAAAUCGUUCUAACGCUGGAAAACUGUCUUCUCCCGGAGACGAAGCUCGAUUUGACGCCCUCGCAGGUGGAUGGAUUGGAUGGCGAGACGGAAAUUGACUUGCGAAUAUUGGGCUGCGAGCUGAUCCAAACGGCCGGGAUUCUGUUGAAACUGCCCCAGGUGAGUUGCAGCUAGUGGAUAACAGCAGUUUGUUUGGAAAAGAGGGCGCCGGUGUGGAGAAAUUCGGUCGUUUGUAAUCGUUUUUCCCAUGCCAGAAGGUUGAUCAGAAGGUGGUUCCGUCGUCGGUCGGGCUGCGGAUAUCCUGGUGCUGAUUCGUUACCAACCUCUAAGUCAGAACAGAAGACCCCAGGGCCAAACGGAGGCAGAGACUCGUCUCACUGGAAGAGAAGACAAAAUCAUGCCCGUGGUGAUGAUGAUGUGGUGAGUUCCAUCACAGACCGCAAUAUGGACUAACCGGAGAGGUCAAAAUUUAUUCGAUUUUUGUGCUGAUGGCACAAUUUUGCCUAUUCGAACCGAGCCGACGACGGAAUGAAGAACAGCAACAAAAUUCAAGUGCAAUCAGCUGACACCCGAGGACCAAAUUGUGGAUGUGCUGAUGAGCAAGACGGACAGCACGAACCACAAGACGCAGUUGCCUAUUCGGCAGGCACCCUUGUCGCAGACCGGAAAAGUUGCGGUUACAGUGCAUCGCAGUUGCCGGAGAAUCAUAUGGCACAAAGGUAUAAUCAGCUGAUUCGGGACCAUAAUUAUCCUAAUAAAUAACAACUCAUCUUAUAAUGAAA